GAAUUAGGUUUACACCAAAUGGCUUCCUCAUAUUCUCCAAUAUAUCCUAUUGCUUGCCAUUUCUAUUUGUCAAUAGACACAUAAACAGCUUAGAGUAUCCUCCUCGUCUCACCAGAUUGCUGCCACUAAGACCUUUCUACAUUCUGGAGGCCCAGCUGCCAGGCCCCAGCUUCUUCCCAGGGCCCUACAACCUCUAGGGCUGUGCCCUGAACAGAAGAGGCACAGCUCUCCACCAUUUAAGGGUGCCUCCCCUUUAUUGUCCUCCCUGAUUGUAGGAUUCGAUGCUCUCCCUGAUCCAGGAAGACCCACCUUCUCUCCACCCAUCCCCACCCCAUCCUCUGGGGCACCUUUAGCUUAAUUCCUUCUUGUGCCUGAUCCCUGAAUUGUAGAGAAGCCAUUAGCUAAGGGCUCCCCCCAUGACCUCCCGGGCACCCCCACAAGACAAAACCAGGAGCCACUGAACACAAAGCCUUAGCUGAUUUGUGGGGCUUGGUGGCCAGUGAAGAGGAACAGAAAAUUUUUUUUCCUAUAGCAGGAAGGAAAAUAAACCUCAUUCUAUUAUCAUGCCUGAAAUUCUGUCACUGGAGAGUCACUCCUUUGGGUGGGAUAUUGCUGUCUCUAAGGGAUCCAAGAUGUUGUCACCCCUUGGGAGAGGUGACAAAGUAUUGCCGCACCUUAGAGUACAGGGUUCAUCUGACACUGCCACAGUGGCAGGUGGGAGAAUACGGGUGGGGACCGUGGGCAGGCCUGGUUCUGCCCCACUUUACAAUCAGGUCCAGUGCUGGCUUUCUGGUUGGCUGUCUCAGGUGCCGCUGACCUGGAAGCCUCCUCUUUCUGUUGAAGACAAGCUUGCAAAUUUCCUGUGGUUUGUUAGGGCUGAGCCACCACAGCCUAGGCAGGUAGCCAGGUGGGAUGAUUAGCUCGGAUAUCAAACCCCGGGGAAUUACUGCUGUUUUGUAGGAAACAAAGACCCACAAGACCGAGUUUAGAACAAGGAGGAAAUCAGAACACAGGUUCAUGUAUCUGGCAGAGGCACUGAGGGCAGCAGCCUCUUUGAGUACCCCUGGGGUGAGGGGUGGAGGUGACUUCGUUAAACUCACCCUGUCACGGGCAAGCACUGAGACCAAGUUCCCCCCAGGACUGCCAAGAACCACUGGGCAGCUCUCCGGUCCCCUCUGGCUGGGAAUCAGGUUCCUUCACUUGCUAUCAGUGUGACCUGGGCACUUAACUCACGUUCUGUGCCUUGGUUUUCCUGUGCCUAAAAUGGGGAUAACAGACCCACUCCAGAGGGGUGUUUGGGGAUUCCUCGGUGUAUUUAAAGCUCUUAGAAGAGUUCCUGGCACACGGUGAGUGUUAUGUAAAUGUUAACUGUUGUAGUUAUUGUUGUUGCUGUCUAAAGCCAGGUGCAUCCCGGAGCCAGGAGCCUCAGGCAACCCUCUGUGGCUGCAACUAAAAACAAUUAUUUACACUUGCUCCCAGCUUGCCUGGGGCUAUGAUGAGAUAAUGGCUGUAAACGCUCCGCCUUUCCUGGGGAUGGGCAGCAUCACCAAAGAACCCUGGUAACAGAAACUUUUACGUGUGGCCUCUGCAGCCUAAGUGGACCCUGCCCCUGGGUGGCUGAAACAUCCCCUUCACGGCCAUGCUUUGAGGGGAUCUGAAAGGCUUUCUGGUCCCAACACCUCUCAUCACAGCCUUGCCUCAAUGUCCGAAACUGUCUCCAGUGCUUCCAGAAGUUCUGAAGAGCGAAGCCAGCCUGCAGCCAGACUGAAUCCUGACUCUACUCGCUAGCUGAGAAUCUUGGAGAAGUUACUGAAUUUCUGUACCUCAGCGCACUCAUCUGUGAAAGUUCACCUAGGUUUAUGCCCUUCCCAGUGGAGUGCUACAGGACCACAUACAUUUCUGUCUGAAAUCUUGAUGAAAAGGGAUCUGGGAUGACCCUCCUAAGAGGCUCAAAUCCUCCUUGAAAUCUAGACUAGCCCUGAGCUAACAUCCGUGCCCAUCUUCCUCUACUUUAUAUGUGGAACACCUACA